CAGUGAUAAACUGGAGGAAGGUGGGGAUGACGUCAAGUCAUCAUGGCCCUUACGACCAGGGCUACACACGUGCUACAAUGGCGCAUACAAAGAGAAGCGACCUCGCGAGAGCAAGCGGACCUCAUAAAGUGCGUCGUAGUCCGGAUUGGAGUCUGCAACUCGACUCCAUGAAGUCGGAAUCGCUAGUAAUCGUGGAUCAGAAUGCCACGGUGAAUACGUUCCCGGGCCUUGUACACACCGCCCGUCACACCAUGGGAGUGGGUUGCAAAAGAAGUAGGUAGCUUAACCUUCGGGAGGGCGCUUACCACUUUGUGAUUCAUGACUGGGGUGAAGUCGUAACAAGGUAACCG
rnacentral:rRNA from 1 species